rnacentral:ncRNA from 2 species
AAUUGUCCGUACGGGUGCUUGAGUGAAUCAGGCUGAGAUUGCAGGUAAAGCCGCUGCUGACCGUUUAUCUGAUCUGGGUAAUGCCAGCGUAGAGAGCAUGUUCGAUGGAAUA